rnacentral:rRNA from 1 species
GACGAACGCUGGCGGCGUGCCUAACACAUGCAAGUCGAGCGAUGAAGUUUCCUUCGGGAAAUGGAUUAGCGGCGGACGGGUGAGUAACACGUGGGUAACCUGCCUUGUAGAGGGGAAUAGCCUUCCGAAAGGAAGAUUAAUACCGCAUAAUAUUGUACUUUCGCAUGAAAGAACAAUUAAAGGAGCAAUCCGCUACAAGAUGGACCCGCGGCGCAUUAGCUAGUUGGUAAGGUAAUGGCUUACCAAGGCGACGAUGCGUAGCCGACCUGAGAGGGUGAUCGGCCACAUUGGGACUGAGACACGGCCCAG